CUCCAACGCCUCCCUUCUCCGUGCUGCCGACCUGUUCCCAUCUGACCAACUCCAGCUCUGUGACCUCGACUGGUCCUUGACUCGGCCACUCUGGCUCUGCUGUUUGCACAUUCCCAGCAGUUAGACUCUCGGCUUCCUUUCUGUUUCUUCCCUUUGACUGUUGGCUUCCGUGAGGCCUUACAGAAACUGGGCUGGCCCCUGUGAUACGCUUUCAGAGACGCAGGCAGAAAAGUGCCCGAGACGCUAUCCACAUACGAUGAAGAUGGCCCCAGGGGUAUUCUUUACCACACAUAUGGGCUAUUUUAUUUAAACCAGAGGUGCUGAGACUUCCCUGGUGGUCCAGAGGUUAAGAAUCUGCCUUCCAAUGCAGAGGACAUGACUUCGAUCCCUGGUUGGGGAUACCACAGGCCAUGGGGCAACUAAGCCCAAGUGCUGCAACUAGAGAAAGCCUGCGCACCACAACCAAGAUGAGCCUGAAUGCUUCAAAGAAGACCCAAUGCAGCCAAAAAUGAAAACAAAAGGCAAAAACAGAAAAUCAGAGGUGCCAUCUUUGGUGAGUGGGUUGCAAGACUUUAGACCUUCCUGCCCCGUCAUCUGGAAGGUUGGAAGAAGGAACUCGUGAAAGGCUAGUGCUCUGCCUAGCUUUAUUACCAUGUUUGGAUAAACUGUCC
ensembl:lncRNA